AUGGGGGAAACCCUGACGCAGCGACGCCGCGUGGAGGAUGACGGCCUUCGGGUUGUAAACUCCUGUCAGAAGUGAAGAAUGCCCGCAAGGGUUUGACGGUAACUUCAGAGGAAGCCCCGGCUAACUACGUGCCAGCAGCCGCGGUAAUA
rnacentral:rRNA from 1 species